CAGCUCGUGAAGAGUAGAGCAACGGCUUCGGCCGCAGUCACGUGUUAGGUCUUGUCCAAUUGGAAGUGGAGGGUGUGAAGCCGAGGGCGGCAUAGUUGGAACGGGCAAAAGGGAGGGCAAUAUUAGGUACCUAACUGCAGAGUAGCCUCAGAGGAAGGAACUAUUAAAGAUACAGAAGACACCGCAGUUGGUAGUCCUGUUAAUAAAGAAGACACAUCUCAUGUUUGAUGGAUGAGCUUCUAGACUUCUAAUGCAAUGUUAAUGCAAAACAAGAACUCAAGCAACAAAGAUGGGAGAUGGAGGAAUUAUAAACAGCUGAUACUUGAAAUCAAGAAUGGACUACAUUAGUUUAUUCUUUUUUGGAUCUCUCUGUGCCUUCAUUGGGGCUGUCAUUGCCCUGUAUUUUUGGCAGCACAAACGAGAAUGCUAUCAUGUCCAUCUGGAGAAUUGCCCUUGUGCUCGAAGCCAGGAUCACGAGGCAAGACGACCCAUGAGUUCGAGCCAUGGCUAUAGAACCGCUGUUUCAUCAACUGAAAUACAUCACCACCACCACCAGUCAACAGAGAAUGUAUACACCGCCAUCAGCAAGCUGUGUGUCGAGAGAAAUGACGACACAGCAAAGAAGAAUACGGCUGCCACCACUCCUUAGAGGCCUCUCUUACCAUUGGUAGUUCGCGAGUAAAAUGAACUGCCAGACUAUACUGACAAUAAAAGAUGGUGGAACUCUAUGAUGCAAAUGAUUGGAAAAUGACUGUUGUUACCCAUUUUAUCUAAGCAAACGUAAUGAAAGCCACUGUCAUUCUCCCUAUACUGCAGAUGUGGGCAGCUUGAGGGAGAAAGGCUGGGGUCAUAGGAGUUUUAUUGAGGCAGCUUAGUGAGGUUUGUGGUGAUGACUUGGAGGCUCUUGCAGGUGGCAUUUUUCUGUUGUUGCCUCUUGUGAACCAUCUCUUGUUGCCUCUUGUGAACUAUCGAGUGAAUUAAAGACAUAAGAAUUAAAAAAGAAAAGAAAAUCACAUCAGUGGUAAUUUAGUACAGGGAGGACUCCAGCGAACAAUGCAGCUAGACUUUCCUGUUAUGUAAAGAUUGAGAUCUAUCACAGUCUUUAAACCAUGAUAAUCUCAAUGAAACCACAGUGGUUUUAAUAUGCCUACAUGCCAGAGCUGACAGGAAAUCUCUGUAAUGGUGAUAAUACAGACAUGUUGAAGGUGAG